rnacentral:rRNA from 1 species
CCUCGGGAGGCAGCAGUAGGGAAUUUUCGGCAAUGGGGGGAACCCUGACCGAGCAACGCCGCGUGAAGGAUGACUGCCCUACGGGUUGUAAACUUCUUUUAUAAAGGAAUAAAGUGAGGCACGUGUGCCUUUUUGUAUGUACUUUAUGAAUAAGGAUCGGCUAACUCCGUGCCAGCAGCCGCGGUAAUACGGAGGAUCCGAGCGUUAUCCGGAUUUAUUGGGUUUAAAGGGUGCGUAGGUGGUUAAUUAAGUCAGCGGUGAAAGUUUGUGGCUCAACCAUAAAAUUGCCGUUGAAACUGGUUGACUUGAGUAUAUUUGAGGUAGGCGGAAUGCGUGGUGUAGCGGUGAAAUGCAUAGAUAUCACGCAGAACUCCGAUUGCGAAGGCAGCUUACUAAACUAUAACUGACACUGAAGCACGAAAGCGUGGGGAUCAAACAGGAUUAGAUACCCCUGUAGUC